rnacentral:rRNA from 1 species
AACACAGGUGCUGCAUGGCUGUCGUCAGCUCGUGUCGUGAGAUGUUGGGUUAAGUCCCGCAACGAGCGCAACCCUUGUCAUUAGUUGCUACGAAAGGGCACUCUAAUGAGACUGCCGGUGACAAACCGGAGGAAGGUGGGGAUGACGUCAAGUCCUCAUGGCCCUUAUGGGUAGGGCUACACACGUCAUACAAUGGCCGGUACAAAGGGCAGCCAACCCGCGAGGGGGAGCCAACCCCGUAAAGCCGGUCGUAGUCCGGAUCGCAGUCUGCAACUCGACUGCGUGAAGUCGGAAUCGCUAGUAAUCGUGAAUCAGCAUGUCACGGUGAAUACGUUCCCGGGUCUU